GGGGGUUUAGCUCAGUUGGUAGAGCGUUCGCUUAGCAUUUUCAAAUGUGUCUAAAUUGCGAAAGGUCACGUGUUCGACUCAUGCAGUCUCCA
rfam:Sporisorium reilianum SRZ2 chromosome 22 complete DNA sequence